ensembl:lncRNA
GUCUGCAGAAGGGAAAAUACAUGCACAUGCACACACAUAUGCAGAGCAUUUACAUAAAAUGAGAGAAAAUAGGCCUGGAUGGUUUUUGAGGGGCCACCUGGAAAGAUCUGUUAUUUCUUCCAUGCACUUCUGCAAUUUCCACAAAUAAGUUUGUAUUGGAAAAUAAAAAGAGGAUGAGACUCCGGAUGCAUUCAUUUUCUUGAGCACACUAUGCCACUUUAAAAAUAAGCUUUAAAUGGCAGGUAAUUGUUUCCAUAUUAAGGAAGGCUUAAGGAUGACUGACAAGAUCUGCUUUUGCAGCUCUGAUUUCUGCUAGUCAAAUCACCGAGGACGAGAGUGAAUAGGGCAUAUUUAGAAAAUGUAUUUUUAAAGCUAGGCUUUCACUGAACUGUAACUCCAAGCAAAAGUGAAGCUUCCCCAACCAGCUGUGGCUAAAAUACAGGGGAAAAAAGAAAGAAAGAAAGAAAGAAAGGCAUAAUAAAGAAAAGCUGCUAUAAAACAAAAUGGUGGUUAUAGCAGACAUGCACGCAAACCCUGAGCCCUCAUCUAAGGCUUGAGACCAAAGCUGCACACUGCCAGCACACGGCUCUGUGCAACCGUAUCCUCCCACCCUGGCUGCCACUGCUUCAACAGUGCCCUCCCUGUGAUCUGCUUUUGCUGUCCCGUGGCCUUGUGUCCCCUCCACAGUGGUCUCAAAGGACUCCAUGCAGCGUGGGGGACUGGGAAAGCAAAGGGUGCUCAUCUCCUCAGCCCAGCAGAAGGAGAUGUGUCCUGUGUGACUGAACCGGAAAAAUCUAAACACUGCUCUGCAUGUUGCAAAGGAUCGGCAAAGUCACUGAGAACUGGAUCAUCUGCGUUUGUUUAUCCAUACUGGAACAGAGAAGCAGCCACAGAACUUGAAAAUUGUCCUCAGCUGAGACCCCAGACACACUGAAAACACGGACAAGCUUGGAAUCAAAAGGUACGUCAGCUCUGCCGAUCAAGCACAAGUCAACCCUGCUCUUAAAACUAGACGCCCCCAACAUGUAUCAACAUACAUAUCCUAUGGAAGAGAGGCACUUUGAGGCUCUUGGGCUCAUGUGCUCUGGGCAGGUUAAGCACUGGUGUAAUCACUGAAGCCUAGCCUGGUUGCUGCAUGUUCACUGUAGAAAGCCAAGGGUGUGCAGCCAGAAAAAUACCGUCUGAUCCCUGUGGAAUAUAGGGACAGCCAGCCGGCUUCUAGGAGGAAGAGGGAUGGGAGAGUGUGGGUAGAGAGAAGUAAUUGUUUCAGCUGGUGAGGUUUCCAGCCAUGAGUCUACCUGGAGUAGAGAAGCCACCUGCCGACUCAAGCAUUGGCUCAGUUUUCCAGAAAGCGGGCAGAAGUGGUGGAGAGCAGAGUUUACUAGAAAGCUUUUAACAGCUAGCUUACCACACUAGAAAGAUUGCCUCUAGUCCAAUCCCAAACUUUGGCAUGCUAGACUUUAAGUGUCCCCAAAAACAGCACGCGUUAAGGAUGGACUACUGCAAAGAUCAAGUCAAAACACAGAGUAUACCGCCUGUAUGGCUUGUUAUACCUAAAUCUCCUUGCAUACCUGCUCUCUACAUUGAAGGAUAAAGGGUAUAGAUCUUCUGGUUCAACACGUAACCAGUUCAGUCCAUUCAUUCUCCUUCAACCUCCAGACAUAGCCAAAGAACAGAAUCCCUGUCUGCAUCAUGCUCCUGGGGUACACAGGUCAUUUUUUUUAAUUAGUUCAAACUCACAGUAUUUAUUUUUACUGCAACUCUGCCACACCCAUUUCUCUUGUCUUUUCCCCCGAGGUGAUUAAUUUAAAAACAAACAUGUUUUUAGCAAAAGGAAAUUAGGAGAGAAGUGUAUUGGAAAUAGGACUGUUUUCUUUCCUUAUAAGCAAAACAGGCUCCACUGUAAGCCCUACACAUUUCACAAGAUCAAGGCUUUUAUGGUGUUACAUAUGAGCAUUUUUCAUUUGUAUCAUGUAUGAGCAUUUGACCUGACAUGUCUUAUGGGUUUAUUUGAAUGUUUCCUUUCCAUUCUGUUUUUCUCCUGGAACAGGCACCCUCUGUUCUUACCUUUUUUUUUUUUUUUUUUUUUUCCUCCUGCUAUGAAGAAAAUAAGCACAUCUUUAUGGGCCAGACUGGAAUAUCCUCAGAUGGGAUGAAAUGCUAUCCCUGAAAGGCACUACUUAGGUUACCAUUGACUUUAUUCUUUCUAAGACAGCCAAGUUUCUAAAUGGUAGAGUCCUCAUACAGUAUAGUUUAACUCUCUGUAAGAGCAGUCUCAGUUCAUUCACAAGUUCAAAACUUGUCUGCCAUUUACACGGCUUGUGCACCUAAGGCUAACCUCUGGAGAUGUCUGAAGGGAAAAGUCCAAAAGUGCUCAGCACCUUAAUGUGUGCCCAAGCUCUCAUUUAGGUGAUCUGGAUGAGUCAGGCAAAGUGUAUAUGCCACUAGCAUAUACUGCAAGCCCUGCUCAUAGAGUGUGGAUGGCCCAGAGCUAAGGUACUGCAAAGUACACACUUGAGCUAAAAGCUUACGAUAUAGAAGGAAGGUUGGAUGAGUUGGUCACAGAACUUGCUGUGCUUUUUCACUGUAGAGUGCCUUUGGAUGUAAUAGGGUUAAAAAACAGCAUGCAGAAGCCAAUCAUUUUUCCAGGUUCCAUUGCCUGUUAUGUGAAAGUCUCUGAAUCCCACUGAGAAUCCUUUACGUAGCUGGUUUUGUUGAGAAAUUUUCUCCGGUCCUACAUGCUGCAGUUCUACGUUAUCAAGAUGUGAGGCUGUGAAGAAGCAAUCUAGUGAUAGAUUCCCUUCCCUUGCUUAAAGGGACUGAGGUGCACAACUGCAUUGUACUCCCAUUGGUAUGGGAAACGAAAGUGGAGAAUCUUUUGCUUAUUAACAGUGAAAAACCAAAGACAUUAAAAGCCAUGAAGAAAUGUCUGGGAACUGCUGGCAGUAGAGUUUGGAAAGGAAAGCACAGGGUGUUAUGCUAUUCCCGUGCACGGUCAUCUGUUGUAUGAGGUACAACCCCCCCCGGACCCUAGCAAAGUCCCUUCUGAAUUCAAAAAUCUUGUAACUAAUCUGAGACUUUUGCUGCAGCCGAACAGACUCAAGGUCUCUUAAAUAACUUAAAUACCUAUAAUUCCACAGGAAAUUAGAGAACGGUUAGGUAGUCCCGUAGCAGAGGAAGAAAUAAAAAGGAGUCAUAAAACCUCUGGUCUCUGGGA